GAUGAAGAACGUAGCGAAAUGCGAUAAGUAAUGUGAAUUGCAGAAUUCAGUGAAUCAUCGAAUCUUUGAACGCACAUUGCGCCCGCCAGUAUUCUGGCGGGCAUGCCUGUUCGAGCGUCAUUACAACCCUCAGGCCCCCGGGCCUGGCGUUGGGGAUCGGCGGAAGCCCCCUGCGGGCACAACGCCGUCCCCCAAAUACAGUGGCGGUCCCGCCGCAGCUUCCAUUGCGUAGUAGCUAACACCUCGCAACUGGAGAGCGGCGCGGCCACGCCGUAAAACACCCAACUUCUGAAUGUUGACCUCGAAUCAGGUAGGAAUACCCGCUGAACUUAAGCAUACAAUAAGCGGAGGA
rnacentral:misc_RNA from 1 species